GCUCCAUGAUGAUAUAAAGGCUAAUGUGACUUGACCAGCUGGGUUGCACCCUCAGCCCAUUCCAGUCAUACGGGCCUGUAAUCUUGGUGGACAAUGCAGAGCUGUGCGUGUUCGCUGUAAGGGCAGGCCGACAGAAAAUCCCCGUCCCCCGAUCCCUGGAAAAUACCUCUUUGGGAUGCAUCAGCUCUGAGUGAGUGUUCCUAUGAGCUGGGGGCGGGGCUGGGGGGAUAGGAUAGAAGAGCGCGUCCAAGGUUUGGGUUGCAGGGGGCAGCCCAUGUUGCAGCUGGUGAGAUGUGAGCACACAUCUUUGGUAAUCUGAUGACU
rnacentral:snoRNA from 1 species